GAUGAACGCUGGCGGCGUGCCUAAUACAUGCAAGUCGAGCGAACGGACGAGAAGCUUGCUUUUCUGAUGUUAGCGGCGGACGGGUGAGUAACACGUGGAUAACCUACCUAUAAGACUGGGAUAACUUCGGGAAACCGGAGCUAAUACCGGAUAAUAUUUUGAACCGCAUGGUUCAAAAGUGAAAGACGGUCUUGCUGUCACUUAUAGAUGGAUCCGCGCUGCAUUAGCUAGUUGGUAAGGUAACGGUUACCAAGGCAACGAUGCAUAGCCGACCUGAGAGGGUGAUCGGCCGCACUGGAACUGAGACACGGUCCAGACUCCUACGGGAGGCAGCAGUAGGGAAUCUUCCGCAAUGGGCGAAAGCCUGACGGAGCAGCGCCGCGUAAGUGAUGAAGGUCUUCGGAUCAUAAAACUCUGUUAUUAGGGAAGAACAUAUGUGUAAGUAACUGUGCACAUCUUGACGGUACCUAAUCAGAAAGCCACGGCUAACUACGUG
rnacentral:rRNA from 1 species